rnacentral:rRNA from 1 species
GACGAACGCUGGCGGCGUGCUUAACACAUGCAAGUCGAACGAUGAAGAAGAGAAACGCGAACUUCGGUUCAAAUUUCACUUCGGAUUAGUGGCAGACGGGUGAGUAACGCGUGAGCAACCUACCUCUUACAAAGGGAUAGCCUCGGGAAACCGUGAUUAAUACCAUAUGACACAUUCAUAAGGCAUCUUAAGAAUGUUAAAGCUACGGCGGUAAGAGAUGGGCUCGCGUCCCAUUAGCUAGUUGGUGAGGUAACGGCCCACCAAGGCGACGAUGGGUAACCGGCCUGAGAGGGUGAACGGUCACAUUGGAACUGAGACACGGUCCAAACUCCUACGGGAGGCAGCAGUGGGGAAUAUUGCACAAUGGAGGGAACUCUGAUGCAGCGACGGCGCGUGAGCGAUGAAGGAAUUCGUUUCGUAAAGCUCUGUUCUAUGGGAAGAAAAGGACUGUACCAUAGGAGAAAGCCCCGGCUAAAUACGUG